rnacentral:rRNA from 1 species
UGAAUCCUACGGGGCGCAGCAGUGGGGAAUAUUGGGCAAUGGGCGCAAGCCUGACCCAGCAACGCCGCGUGAAGGAAGAAGGCUUUCGGGUCGUAAACUUCUUUUAAGGGGGAAGAGGAGAAGACGGUACCCCUUGAAUAAGCCACGGCCAACUACGUGCCAGCAGCCGCGGUAAUACGUAGGUGGCAAGCGUUGUCCGGAUUUACUGGGUGUAAAGGGCGUGCAGCCGGGAGGACAAGUCAGAUGUGAAAUCCCGCGGCUCAACCGCGGAACUGCAUUUGAAACUGUUUUUCUUGAGUACCGGA